AUCGAUUUGCAGAGUGACAGAAGUCCCCGUGGUUCGCGAAGAAGACUCAGGCGAACAUGAUCAGGGACGCGGAAUUUGAAACCAGUUGCGUGUCAAUCGUAGAAAAAAAGGACCAGCUUAAAAUCCCUGUCGGAAACAGGAUUGGCAAGCGAAGAACAGGGCACGCGAGUGCUGCUUCUGUCUUCGGCUGAUGCUCGCUCCUCGCUACUCGCUGCUACACGGCCACAGGAACCACGUUGGUGCCCCCUCCUUUUCUCCGUUUUUUCUUCCUUACUACGUUGCCUCUCACAAUGAUCCGUUACUCCUUCC
rnacentral:misc_RNA from 1 species